GGGGGGGGGGGGGGGGGGGGGGGAUACGUGCGAGUGGGGCGAGCGGGCGGGGAGCUUGCUCCUCUGAGGUUAGCGGCGGACGGGUGAGUAACACGUGGAGCACCUACCUAUCAGACUGGGAUAAAUUCGGGGAACCGGGGCUAAGACCGGAUAAUAUAUUGAACCGCAUGGUUCAAUAGUGAAAGGCGGUUUUGCUUGCACUUAUAGAUGGAUCCGCGCCGCCUGAGCUAGUUGGUCAGGUAACGGCUUACCAAGGCAACGAGCCGUAGCCGACCUGAGAGGGUGAUCGGCCACACUGGAACUGAGACACGGUCCAGACUCCUACGGGAGGCAGCAGUAGGGAAUCUUCCGCAAUGGGCGAAAGCCUGACGGAGCAACGCCGCGUGAGUGAUGAAGGUCUUCGGAUCGUAAAACUCUGUUAUUAGGGAAGAACAAAUGUGUAAGUAACUAUGCACGUCUUGACGGUACCUAAUCAGAAAGCCACGGCUAACUACGUG
rnacentral:rRNA from 1 species